CCGGCUGAUGAGACUAAGGCGAAUGCGACUCUGUGCUCUGUCCUUGGCUCCCUGGGGAUGGAGGUUUUGAAUGGGGUCUGAAAUCUUAGAGAGGUGCCUGAGGCCUGGCUCCUCCCUGUAAGGCAGAUCAAUAGCACUGCUGGCCUUGCCUCCAUUUCUGCUGCUGCCUCCAGUUCCUGGCAGCUGCCUGCAGGGGGGGCCCACAGAUGGGGACCAAAGUGGGACUAGGCACGAACUAUCUGAGCGCGACCUUGGAUCUGACA